rnacentral:snRNA from 1 species
UUUCCCUUUAGGAACAUCAGAUAAAAUUUAAAUCAUACAAAGAAGAUUAGCAUGGCCCUUUGCGCAAGGAUGACACUCACAAAAAUGGAAGCGACUAGUUAUGA